UGUGGACUCUCAACACACCAUCCUCUGUUAUAAUCAAAACAUACUUUAGAUUUAAAAACAACUCUAUUACAUGUGUUAUUACAUGUUCACUGUCAGAAGUAGAUUUAGUAAUGCUGGGCCUCUCUGGGCGGUUCCUCUUGUUUCCUGUUUAAAGUUUACUUUCUCUUUCCAGAGGUUGUGUUGCAGCUUUUUGUCUCCGUGUGGAGCUCCAGCUGAAGAUGAAAGGCUGAGUUUGUUAGCAUGGAUCAGUGUGAGGACAGAGGAACCACUCUGAGUGGGGAACAGGACAGAGGAACCACUCUGAGUGGGGAACAGGACCUCCAGACCAAAGCUCAGAGGACCAUCCUGAUGCUGGACUCUGAUGAAUCUGAACCGGGACCCAGCUGUGUGUCCAUGAAGAGUGACUGGUCAAA